rnacentral:lncRNA from 1 species
AUGUGAAAAUGAAACAGAGGCUUUAAUUUACUAUCAUCAUUUGUAAUCUCCUUCCAAAGGAAUAAAUGUGCACAUUAACGCACAAACAGUUCACAAUAGAUUCAGAAAAUUGAAACUUAAAAUCACUGUAUAAUUUGGAAAAUUAAAUAAAUAAAGGAAAAUUCCUGCAGAUGUUCUACAAAUAGAGAAAAAGAGAAAGCAGGCCCAAGGGAUAUUUCAGUAUGUUUGCUACUUUAUUAGUAAAAUUAAUACCAGUGGUUUCAAAAAGACCACUCACACACAGUUCCUCUUCUGAUUAGAAUCUGGGCUUUAAAUUAUACAACAAAUCUUCUGCUUAGCUGAAAUUUUAAUUUUAAUUUGCAGAAGGGCAGGGAUUGCUACCUACAGGUAAUUCUCUAUAAACAGAUUUAGUUGUGUGUGAAAUGGGUAACAUUGAACAUGUGGGGCUAGGCUUAAUAAGUGCCUAGUCCAUAAAAGGAAAUCACAUGUGGCAGAAAAUAUAGGUGCCAAUGCCCAUUCCUGUGCUUGGAAAAGUGUGCUGUGAAGUGGUGUCAAAGCAGAUAGACAGAAACUACAGGUGAUACAAAUACCCCGGAUAUUUCUCCUUGCACGAGCUGACCGGUUCAAAAAUAUCUUCUGAAGAUGCCGUCUGUAUAUUCUUUAGAGAAAAAGAGUCACUGUCAUCAGAGUCCCCUUCUGUACAAUAAACGAGUGCAAAAGCACUCGUUUGGCAAAGUUCAGUACAUUGGACCUUAAGUCUCUGAAGGUGUGUAACAAACUACAAGCUGCUGAAUCUGGAAACAGGAGUUCAUUGCUCACUGGGCCAAAGAGACGAAGUGUUACAGAAGAGAAGUGCUAAAGAAAAAGAAGACUAUUGCUGUGAGUGCUAUUUCCUUCCAGGAAUCAGAGUGGAUGAUGAUUGGAAUCCUGCUGUCUGCAGGGCAUCAGCUAGGGGAAAGGAGAGCUGGAAGUGUGAGAGAAUGACUGGACAGGAUCAGUGGGCUUAAGAGUAAUUAAGUCUCCCUUGGCAAAGUGCCAGAACCACAGGAAACAAACCAGAGGACCAGAGACACAGGAGCUGAUAAGAAUGGAGUACACUUUUCACAAGGAUAGCUGACUAUUUUUAUAGUGUAUUUCUUAAAAUAAUUUUCCUCUUUUGGCUUUUAGACAAAGUUGUAGUUGCUGCCUCUAAGUAGAAAUUCCACACUGCUCCACAGCUUUUUCCAAAUCCUGUAAGAAUGCAAAAUUGGU